rnacentral:rRNA from 1 species
UACGUAGGGCGCAAGCGUUAUCCGGAAUUAUUGGGCGUAAAGAGCUCGUAGGCGGUUUGUCGCGUCUGCCGUGAAAGCCCCGGGCUCAGCCUGGGAAGGGCACUCGAAACUGCCGAGCUGGAGUGCCGGAGGGGAGAGUGGAAUUCCUGGUGUAGCGGUGAAAUGCGUAGAUAUCAGGAGGAAUACCGGUGGCGAAAGCGACUCUCUGGACGGCAACUGACGCUGAGGCACGAAAGCGUGGGGAGCAAACAGG